GCUAACUCGUAUCGGUCAAGUCCGUCUAGUGCUAGCCGCUAGAACGCCGUCAAUAUGAAAGCGUUUAGCCUUUAUUUAGACUAGAUUUCGGCUAAAGGGCCGUUAAACCUAACGUUAUCGUCAGAGGAGAGUCUUUAUAACGUCGGAAAUGGCCUAUAGUAUUACAAAGUCCUUACUACUGCAAAAAGGGCACUUUCUUUCCAGCAAAAGAGGGCGUUCAUUCAAGAAAUACUUUUGCCGUUCUUUAAAAGGCCAGAAAAAGGGCACUUUUUACUUUAAAAAGAAGUGGGGGGAGCACAUACCCCUUUGCUCCCCCUAGUUCAGCGGCCGCAGUGGUUCAGUUACCAACUGGUAUCGAACGAUAAGAUCCUAUGAUCGGUAACUACCACACACAAGUAAUAGUAACAGUUCGGUAUAUAAGUACGUAACAGUUGCCCGGUGUGGUGCAUGUGGGACGCUUUAGUUCGGUGUUUACCAAACCUUUGAAACAAACGCAUGCGCGAUAAUCUGACACUCGGGUAGACGUAGCGC